rnacentral:tRNA from 1 species
GGGCCGAUAGCUCAACAGCCAAGAGCAGCGGACUUAGGAUCCGUGGGCCGUGGAUUCAAGAACCACCCGGUCCC